UUAGCUUUGUCUUUUUCAAGAUGGCAGCCUAGCGUGGAGAAGUGUUGUGCAGUUAUGUGAACAUGUCGCUAUUGAGACUGUGUGCCUUACCGAAGUGUCUGAGUGGUCUAAUAUUGUUGGAAAGAAGUGUUCGUCGUGUGUCAAAUGCUGGCCAUUGCCACUACUUUCUUACACUACGGAAUAACGUUGAAAGACGAAUAUCAGAUCCACCAUGGACAUCACAACGAAGACAUUUCUCAGCUCUGAUCCCAAAGAAAGAGGAUGGGAAAAAACGAGUAUGGGAACAAUCUCAGCUGUUAGAUGUGCUUGAGGCCAGAAUCCAGCAACUCCAAUCUGACAUUGUUUUAGAUGUCCAACAUGCAAAGGUACAAUUUGUCAAUGCUUCCAAGUCGGGGAGAGGGGCUUCUUCAGGGAAGAGUCACAAAAAUGUUUCUGGGGGGAGGACUGAGUUGCCCAAGGUGGGACAGACUAUUAGUAAUGGAGGGGGCAAAGAUGCUUCAGCCUACAAAUCCCGCUGGAUGGAGAAACUGAUUCAGGAGAAGACGACUAAAACAAAGAAACUGAACCUGAAGCUAGGCAUAGAAGAUAAACCUGUGAAAAGCAGAAAAGGAAAACUGAUGCUACCAGGUACCGCACAAAAAAACAUAUUGACAAAAGCUGGAAAAAAGACUGCAUCGGCAUCUAAAAAGAGCAAGACUCUGAAAAACCAAGAGCCAACUGCAAUCCAAGCGCACACUAUGGCAGGUGCACCGGUUGCUGCUGCAACUGUGCCUAUUAGAAAAGCCAAAGGAAAGGGGAAAGCCUCAAAGGAGCCGGCUCCUGAGUUUUCUGAGGCCAGGGACCAGGAGCUGGCUGAGCUGGAGAGGAAGACGGAGGCCAAGGCCCAGGAGCUGGCUGAGGUGGAGAAGUUGGAGAGGAAGCUUAACCAGUGGGCUAUGUCUGCCAGCCUGGAGCUCAUGCAGGAUAACAGCGAGGCCAGGAUGUACGAGGGUGUCCAGCUUAGUGUGCAUUGCUACCUGGAGGCCUGUGUGUUCUGUGGCGACAUUGACCGAGCCCAGCGCCUCCUGCUCACUCACCACCGCAUGAUCAGCCGACGCAACCUGCUCAACAUAGGACUCUACAACGUCAUGAUGAGGGUCUGGGCCAAGAAGGGCUCUUUGAACCAGAUUGGACGUAUGUUCAUUCUGGUAGAAGAGGCAGGUCUGAAGCCUAACCUCACCUCCUACUGUGCUGCACUGGAGUGUAUGGGCAGAACCCCUAACUGUUCUCCAAAGGUCAUCAACAGGGUCCUGCGUCAGAUGAAAGAGGAUGGCCUGUGUGUGGAAGAGCUGUUUAGACUCUGUGUGUUCAGGCAGGAUGAGAGGGACAUGGUGCUGAGGGCCAUCCACACUGUGGAACCAGACUUUCAACCCAGCAUCAACACUGUCCUGCACACUUGCUCCUCACCGCUGGUCAAAGACUUCUACACAGAGAGGGCAGAUGCUAAGUACCCCAAGUUGGCCUUCAGCCUGGAGGAGCUGCGGGAGAGGUUCAGCCGUCAGCUGAGCAUGGAACAGGCCAGCACCAUCACCAUUCACUCUGUGGAGGCCAUGAAGCCUGUUACCCCACACAUGGCCAAGAUGAGGGCUCUGCUGGCGGAGCAGCGGAUGGUGUGGCACAAAGCCCUGGUUGGGGCCCUGAGGGAGAGCAAUAUGAUCCUGGCCAGCAUCACCCCGAAGGCCGUCAGACUCAGCCUCUACCCCUACCUCUGUCUGAUGGACCAAAAGGACUAUGUAGACAUCAUGAUCCAGAGUCUGUCUAACUUGCCACCCAGUGGGGAGUCUCUCCACAUCCUGGCCAAGGAGCUGGGAAACAGGGUCCACAACAAGUUCUGCAUCCGCAUGAAGAGCCACAACCAGAUGGUGGACAAGCUCAGCCAUAUCUACAAUGAAUAUGCUGAGCUACUAGCCAAAGACUCUAAGGAUUUUGACGUAUUGCCUAGGGAACGAUGGUGGAAGCUGGAGGCGGAGCAUAACUCUGGUCCCUCCCUGCUGGGGGACAAUACCCAAUGGCCCCACACGGUGGUGGUGGAGCUGGGCACCUACCUGGUGGACCUCAUGGUCAAGCACAUGAAGGUGAACAGCGACAUCCUCAACCCUGCCAAUGACAGGAAGUUCAUCCCUGUCCUCUACCACAUGUACACCUUCCGCAGUAACAAACAGGUCGGCUUCAUCAAGCCGCACCCCAUCCUGACACAGAUGCAGCAGGAUGCCAUGGAGACCACGCUGACCUUUGACUCCUACGUGAUGCCCAUGCUGUGCCCGCCCGUGCCCUGGACCUCGGCCAAGUUCGGCGCCUACCUCCUCACCCCCACCAAGAUGAUGCGCACGGUGGUUGGCGCCAACCAGCAUGAGAUCCUGCUGGAGAAGUGCCAGGACGCUGACCUGCAUGCCGUGCUCGACUCCCUCAACCAGCUGGGCAACGCGGCCUGGAGGAUCAACCAGCCCCUGCUAGACAUCAUCAUCUCCAUCUUCAACGAUAAGGGCAAUGAGAAGCUGGACAUCCCGCCGCCCAACUCCGAGGCCCCCAAGAUCCUCCGCUACAGCCAGCAGGACUUGGCCACCUACUCCUCAGCCGAGAAGGCCCACCUGAAGAGGGAGCUGGUCAAGGCUAAGAAGAAGUGCAGUGAGAUGCACAGCCUCAGGAUGGACGCCCUCUAUAAACUCUCCAUCGCCAACCACAUAAGGGACGAGGUCUUCUGGUUCCCCCACAACAUGGACUUCCGCGGGCGCACCUACCCGUGCCCUCCCUACUUCAACCACCUGGGCAGCGAUGUGACCAGGGCCGUCCUGGUGUUUGCGGAGGGGAAGCCCCUGGGGCCGGGUGGUCUGAAAUGGCUGAAGAUCCACCUGGUCAACCUGACGGGCUUGAAGAAACGCAGCUCGCUGGCCGGCAGGUUGGAGUACGCCAACACAAUCAUGGACGACAUCCUGGACUCUGCAGACAACCCCCUCAACGGUAAGAAGUGGUGGCAGAAUGCAGAUGAACCCUGGCAAGCCUUGGCCUGCUGUAUGGAGAUAGCCAACGCUGUCAGAUCACCUGACCCCACACACUUCAUCUCCCACUUUCCUGUGCAUCAGGAUGGUUCGUGUAAUGGUCUCCAGCACUACGCAGCCCUGGGUCGGGAUGUGAUCGGUGCCACCUCUGUGAACCUAAUUCCCUGUGAGGUGCCCCAGGAUGUCUACAGCGGGGUGGCACAGCAGGUGGAGGAGUUCCGUGCGCGGGACUCAGAGAAGGGUCUGAAGAUCGCCCAGGUGCUGGAGGGCUUCAUCAGCAGGAAGGUGGUGAAGCAGACGGUGAUGACGGUGGUGUACGGGGUGACGCGCUACGGAGGACGCCUCCAGAUAGAGAAGAGGCUCAAGGAGGUAGAUGACUUCCCCAAGGAGUACGUAUGGGACGCCUCUCACUAUCUGGUCCAACAGGUGUUCAGCAGUCUGAAGGAGAUGUUCACCGGCACCAGAGAGAUCCAGGACUGGCUGACGGAGAGCGCCAGGCUCAUCGCUAAAUCGGGCAACACAGUGGAGUGGGUGACGCCCCUGGGCCUGCCCAUCAUUCAACCCUACCACCGGACCAGGACGCAGAUGCUGAAGGGUACCAUCCAGGACCUAAGUCUCCAGAUCACCCAUGACUCUAAACAGUUGUUCAAUGUUAGUUUGAGCUUGCUCAACUGCUACAAGCAAAGAUGGACCUCUCAGACAGACAUGCGAAUCCCACGUUACCAAGGAAGCCAGACACAGUGAAACAGAAGAAUGCCUUCCCUCCUAACUUCAUCCACUCUCUGGACUCCACACACAUGAUGCUGACUGCUCUCUACUGCUACAGCGCCGGCCUGACGUUCGUCUCCGUCCACGACUGCUUCUGGACCCACGCCCUUACAGUCGACACGAUGAACAAGGUUUGCCGGGAGCAGUUUGUGGCACUGCACAGCCAGCCCAUCCUUCAAGAGCUGUCCAACUUCCUACUGCAGAAAUACUGCUCUGGGCUAUCGAGCGAGGUCAAAAACACUAAGUUUUUGGAGUACCGGAGGAUGCUGCUACUACUGGCCAAAGUGCCUCAAACAGGCGACUUUGAUCUCCAGCAGGUGAAGGAAUCCACUUACUUCUUCAGCUAAGAGGAACAGACUGACAAUCAGAGCAACAGGAUGCAAAAGCCAAUGGAUGAGAUGAGUAGGAUUGACAGACUGUGAGGCUGAACACUGAGAGGGCUUUGUGGGGACUGGGAGGGCUUGUCUCCCUCAGGCAUCAGAUGAUUGAUCCACUGCCCGAUGGGUGAAGCCAAGGCUUUCUGCAACAGCUCCAUCACACGUAAUGACCCACCCAGACAGACCGCCAUAGACCAGUGUGGGAGGAGAGGCCUCCUCUGUAGAGGAGACAAGGAAAUGAGAGCAGCUUCCCCACUCUGGACUAGAGAGGAUCUCAACAGUGCUCAUUUAGGCUUUGACAUUUCCCCUUUUACUGUUGUGUGUGAGAGAAUGAAUGAUAUCCCUUGUCUGAAAACGUGAACGUUGUUAUACGUGUGUGUUCCGGCGACUGUCCUCCCAUAACGAACACCUUCACUAUAAAGAGACUUCUAAGA